UACGUAGGGGGCAAGCGUUAUCCGGAAUUACUGGGUGUAAAGGGUGAGUAGGCGGCAUGGUAAGCCAGAUGUGAAAGCCUUGGGCUUAACCCGAGGAUUGCAUUUGGAACUAUCAAGCUAGAGUACAGGAGAGGAAAGCGGAAUUCCAUGUGUAGCGGUGAAAUGCGUAGAUAUAUGGAGGAACACCGGUGGCGAAAGCGGCUCUCUGGCCUGUAACUGACACUGAGGCUCGAAAGCGUGGGGAGCAAACAGG
rnacentral:rRNA from 1 species